rnacentral:lncRNA from 1 species
UCCUGUACAGCCUGCUCUGCAUGAAUUACUCUGUCUCCCUUGCAAUUCCCCUGUCUUGAUAAAUCGGCUCUGUCUAGGCAGCAGGCAAGGUGGAUCCACUGGGCGGUGACCUGACCCCCACAAGGUAGUGUGAGUUUUGAAUGGGAUAAUGCAAGUGUUGCUUAAAUAGCAGGGCCAACCUGGUUUACUGGGGCUGAGUUUCACGGAAUAUGGGACUUUCAGUGCUAAAAUCAAGAAAGUUCCGGGCAAACUGGGACGACUGGUCACCCUAUGCUUAAAAUCAGGCGUCAGCAAACUGACGGAGCUGAAAUGAGCCUGCCGCCCGUUUGUAAAUAAAGUUUUAUUAGAACACAACCAUGCGCAUUCAUUUAUGGACAUAUUGUCAGUGGCUGCUUUUGUACUACAAGGACAGAGUUGAGUUGUUGCAACAGAGGCUAUGGUGUUGCAACAGUUAAGGCCUACAGUAUUCACUGUUUGGUCCUUUAAGAAAAAGUUUGGCAGCUUGAACUUUUCCACCAUUUGACAGCAAAUCAGUGCUUCUGUGAGUUGUACAAAAGGUUGCAGGCUGCAUCUAGGAUCACCAAUAAGCUACUGGCUGUUAAUGAGAGACAGGGCCUGAGUGAAAAGGAGAGGUCAGGGUGAGCUUCUGGAGAGUGGGAAAGAUUCUGUGCUUGGCCAAGCUUUAAUCAGUCAGGCCCCUGAGUCCUCUCCUAGGCCCAUCUGUGCACUUCCUUUUAAAAUCCAGUUCUGGGCCGGGCGUGGUGGCUCACACCUGUAAUCCCAGCACUUUGGGAGGCCAAGGCGGGAGAAUCACCUGAGGUCGGGAGUUCAAGACCAGCCUGACCAACAUAGAGAAACACCAUCUCUACUAAAAAUACAAAAUUAGCUGGGCGUGGUGGCGCAUGCCUGUAAUCCCAGCUACUCAGGAGGCUGAGGCAGGAGAAUCACUUGAACUCAGGAGGCGGAGGUUGCAGUGAGCCAGAUCGCGCCAUUGCACUCCAGCCUGGGCAACAAGAGCAAAACUCCAUCUCAAAAUAAAUAAAUAAAUAAAAUCCAGUUCUAACAAGAACUCUGCUAAGUCAGCUUAGCAACAACCCUCCCCCCACCACUCCAUAUCUGAUCACCUCCCAUAUCUGAUCACCUCCUAUAUCUGAUCACGUUCCUCAUCUGCCACCAUCCCCCCGGUGAUGUCUGAGCACCCUGGCCUGCCUCCAGUAUGAAUCCUGUUAGGUCAGUGUAGAAAAUGACCGAGAACCCAUCCCCAGCAGUCAGUUUAGCCAGAAUUCCCCUUCCCCUGAUGUUUCCUCUUGGUAAUUUUCCAGCUGCAGAUAUCCAACCCUGUUCCCUGGCUAUCAGCUCCCACUUGCCCCUGCUGUACUCAUAGUUGAGCCCAAAUGCCCCCACUGCAAAAUCCCAUAGCUGCAGUCCCUGCAGUGAUUGAGAGAGUCCCACUCCCCUUGAACAAAGUCUUCCUUACCAUGCUUUAACAAGGGUCAUUGAAUCUUUUUUUUUUUUUUUGAGACGGAGUCUUACUCUGUCACCCAGGCUGGAGUGCAGUAGCGUGAUCUCAGCUCACUGCAACCUCCCUCCGCUUCCCGGGUUCAAGCAAUUCUCCUGCCUCAG